rnacentral:rRNA from 1 species
UACGGAGGGUGCAAGCGUUAUUCGGAAUCACUGGGCGUAAAGGACGCGUAGGCGGGAAGCCAAGUCUGAUGUGAAAUCCUAUGGCUUAACCAUAGAACUGCAUUGGAAACUGGUUACCUAGAGUAUGGGAGGGGGAGAUGGAAUUAGUGGUGUAGGGGUAAAAUCCGUAGAUAUCACUAGGAAUACCGAAAGCGAAGGCGAUCUCCUGGAACAAUACUGACGCUAAGGCGUGAAAGCGUGGGGAGCAAAC